AUCCCAUGUUUACUACUACUUGCUACCUCUAUAAUUUGAGAUUUCGAGUAUUUUUGCGAUGCAUGGAAAAUAAAAGACUAAAAUGGCCAGGUUUCUUUUCAUAUUCCAAAUUGAUGAAAAGUUACAAUGUCAUUUCACAAAA
rnacentral:snoRNA from 1 species